rnacentral:rRNA from 1 species
UUUGAAAUCUGGCACCUUCGGUGUCCGAGUUGUAAUUUGAAGAAGGUAACUUUGGAGUUGGCUCUUGUCUAUGUUCCUUGGAACAGGACGUCACAGAGGGUGAGAAUCCCGUGCGAUGAGAUGCCCAAUUCUAUGUAAAGUGCUUUCGAAGAGUCGAGUUGUUUGGGAAUGCAGCUCUAAGUGGGUGGUAAAUUCCAUCUAAAGCUAAAUAUUGGCGAGAGACCGAUAGCGAACAAGUACAGUGAUGGAAAGAUGAAAAGAACUUUGAAAAGAGAGUGAAAAAGUACGUGAAAUUGUUGAAAGGGAAGGGCUUGAGAUCAGACUUGGUAUUUUGCGAUCCUUUCCUUCUUGGUUGGGUUCCUCGCAGCUUACUGGGCCAGCAUCGGUUUGGAUGGUAGGAUAAUGACUAAGGAAUGUGGCUCUACUUCGGUGGAGUGUUAUAGCCUUGGUUGAUACUGCCUGUCUAGACCGAGGACUGCGUCUUUGACUAGGAUGCUGGCAUAAUGAUCUUAAGCCACCCUACACACAGUGUUUUUUGUUAUUACAAGAACUUUUGCUUUGGUCUGGACUAGAAAUAGUUUGGGCCAGAGG